CCUACGGGUGGCAGCAGUGGGGAAUAUUGGGCAAUGGGCUUACGCCUGAACCAGCCAAGUCGCGUGAGGGAAGACUGCCCUAUGGGGUGUAAACCUCUUUUGUCAGGGAGCAACGCCGGCUAAGUGUAGCCGGACUGAGAGGACCUGAAGAAAAAGCAUCGGCUAACUCCGUGCCAGCAGCCGCGGUAAUACGGAGGAUGCGAGCGUGAUCCGGAUUUAUUGGGUUGAAAGGGUGCGUAGGCGGAAUGCCAAGUCAGCGGUAAAAUCGCGGGUCUCAACCUCGCUCCGCCGUUCAAACUUGCGUUCUUGAGUGGGCGAGACGUAUGCGGAAUGCGUGGUGUAGCGGU
rnacentral:rRNA from 1 species